GACGAACCGUGCGAACGUUAUUCGGAAUCAUUGGGCUUAAAGGGCGCGUAGGCGGCGGUGUAAGUUGGAAGUGAAAUCCCAUCGGCUCAACCGUGGAAUUGCUCCCAGUACUGCAUCACUCGAGGGGGAUAGGGGUUUGCGGAACUACCGGUGGAGCGGUGAAAUGUGUUGAUAUCGGUGGGAACGCCAGUGGCGAAAGCGGCAAACUUGACCCUUCCUGACGCUGAGGCGCGAAAGCUAGGGGAGCAAACGGGG
rnacentral:rRNA from 1 species